CGGACCUAGAAGAGCCCUUUCGACCAGCUAGCUUUUAUCGAAGAGCUGUUUUCGCUGAUGGUUGUCAAUCGACUGACCGAAGAGCUCGGUUGUGAUGAGAUCAUUGAUCGAGAGUAAAUGCUGAUGAAAGAGGAGGAAACUACCUGAGAGGGAGAGAUUCAACAUUCUGCUAUUUUGGGGUUCAUUCCAAAUAGUUCUGUGCAAAAAAUAAAAACAGUUGGUUUUUGUUUCUCGGAAUAGAAGACAGGACAGUGAAUGAAUAACCGUGCAUUGUGGAAAAGGAGAAUCAAGAAAGGAGGAGUGUUAAACCUGAGAAUCGCAAGGAGAAAAGACCAAAAGUGUUCCUUGUUUGGUCUCACAGGGCCUCAGCAAAAACCUCUGGUUCAGACUGUUGAUCGAGAUGAUUUCCCUUACAUUGGAGAAGAACUUUCUCGUGUUAAGCUUUUGAAGAUGAUUUGAAAGAGUAAAUUAUGACUGCCAAUACAAGAAUCUAAUUAAAGAAUGAGGAAAAAAAAUACAUCCACAAGAUAUCUUUGAUUUGAACUAAAAGGCUAUUGAAAAAAACUUUGUAAAUUCUUCUUUAUGGUUUAUACACAUCUAGUUAUCAAAAGCAAAAUUUGAGGUUUAAGAUUGAGCAUUCAUCAACCCCAGAGGGUAGUCAAAGUAAAUGUGUGUGUAAAUGUAGACGUGUUACCAGGUGUACUAUCCUCUUAAAACGUGUUACAAAAGCUGGGAUUGUGACUGCACAUGCAUCUUCAUGAUUUAUAAAGCUACUGUGGUCCCUGAUCUAUUGUGAUGACUUAUAAAGUAAAGAAAAAAAAGGAUGUCUUUUUAAGGUUUUAAGUUCGUGCAUUAAAUAAAAUGUAUGGGAAAGCCCAAAGACAAAGUUUCUAAUACCCUUUUAUACUAGGGAAAUUUCGCUUGCUGUUUUUUUGGGUUUUUUUUUUUUUUUGUUUUUUUUUUUUUUUACCUUGACAGAUGGUAAGAGUAUAACUGACGUUCAUAUUGUAAGAAGUGUUUGCAAAAGUUGUCAAGUAAAAGGAAACCCUACCUGUAUCUAGAAAAGAUUUUUGAGCUCUUAUGCUGUCAAACUUGGAAGAUUUUAAACCUACCCAGAAGUCCACCUGGGUGCUUGAUACUCAUGUUCUCUCCCUCUCUCCCUCUCUGCCUCUUUCUUCCCUUCCCCCUCCCUCCUGAUUUGCUUGUUACUCUUGAUGCACCAGCAUUGGCGAUAAUAAAUUUUCUCGUUCUGAGUA
rnacentral:lncRNA from 1 species